UACAGAGGGGGCAAGCGUUAUUCGGAAUUAUUGGGCGUAAAGGGCUCGUAGGCGGCCAACUAAGUCGGAUGUGAAAUCCCCAGGCUCAACUUGGGAACUGCAUCCGAUACUGGAUGGCUUGAAUCCGGGAGAGGGAUGCAGAAUUCCAGGUGUAGCGGUGAAAUGCGUAGAUAUCUGGAGGAAUACCGGUGGCGAAGGCGGCACUCUGGGCCGAUACUGACACUGAGGAGCGAAAGCGUGGGGAGCGAACAGG
rnacentral:rRNA from 1 species